UACGUAGGGGGCAAGCGUUGUCCGGAUUUAUUGGGCGUAAAGAGCGUGUAGGCGGCCUGACAGGUCUGCUGUGAAAACUCGAGGCUCAACCUCGAGAUGUCGGCGGAAACCGUCUGGCUAGAGUCCGGAAGAGGAGAGUGGAAUUCCUGGUGUAGCGGUGAAAUGCGCAGAUAUCAGGAGGAACACCGAUGGCGAAGGCAGGUCUCUGGGCCGCAACUGACGCUGAGGAGCGAAAGCAUGGGGAGCGAACAGG
rnacentral:rRNA from 1 species